rnacentral:rRNA from 1 species
UCUUGGUCAUUAGAGGAAGUAAAAGUCGUAACAAGGUUUCCGUAGGUGAACCUGCGGAAGGAUCAUUACCGAAUUGUCAACAAGAGUUGUUGCUGGUCUCCGUAUGGGGGCAUGUGCACGCUCUGUUUACACAUCCACUCACACCUGUGCACCCUCUGUAGUUCUAUGGCCUGGGUGGGCUCUGUCCCCCUGCUGUGGUUCUGCGUCUUUACACACACACUACAAUGAAGUCUCAUGGAAUGUAUGUCGCGUUUAACGCAAUGAAAUACAACUUUCAGCAACGGAUCUCUUGGCUCUCGCAUCGAUGAAGAACGCAGCGAAAUGCGAUAAGUAAUGUGAAUUGCAGAAUUCAGUGAAUCAUCGAAUCUUUGAACGCACCUUGCGCCCUUUGGCUAUUCCGAAGGGCAUGCCUGUUUGAGUAUCAUGAACACCUCAACUCUUCAYGGCUUGCUGUGAUGAGCUUGGACUUUGGGGGUCUUGUUGGCCUGUGAGCCAGCUCCUCUUAAAUGAAUUAGCUUGCCAGUGUUUGGUGGCAUCACAGGUGUGAUAACUAUCUACGCUUGUGGUUUCCCAUCAGGUAACCUUCAGCGAUGGAGGUUYGCUGGGGCUUAUAAACAUCUCUCCUCRGUGAGGACAGAUU